GGAGCAGUGUGGGAUAGUGACAAGAGCUGAAGCUUCCACACCAGGGAAAUCUGGGUCCAGAUGCUGCCUAAGGCAUUAGCACUCUCUGUGCCCUUGGGCUCGGCCGGCUUCAGGACACAGCACAGGAGCGGAAUGCUGAACCAGGGUUUAUGGCAUAUGAAUUGCAACAUUUCCAUAUUUUUCCUGCACAAACAGCCGGGACCAGAUUGUAUACACAUUUCAGGAUCAACAAGAGUGUUUGUAGACUAUUGAAAGGUGGAUUUAUAUAUAAGACUUAUUUCCCAUUGAAGACAUCAGAUUGGAGUCUUCUGAUGAAGACAUCAGAUUCGA